AUUGAACGCUGGCGGCAUGCUUUACACAUGCAAGUCGAACGGUAACAGGCCGCAAGGUGCUGACGAGUGGCGAACGGGUGAGUAAUGCAUCGGAACGUGCCCAGUCGUGGGGGAUAACGCAGCGAAAGCUGCGCUAAUACCGCAUACGAUCUAUGGAUGAAAGCGGGGGGACCGUAAGGCCUCGCGCGAUUGGAGCGGCCGAUGUCAGAUUAGGGUAGUUGGUGGAGUAAAACUCACCAAGCCAACAAUCUGUAGCUGGUCUGAGAGGACGACCAGCCACACUGGGACUGAGACACGGCCCAGACUCCUACGGGAGGCAGCAGUGGGGAAUUUUGGACAAUGGGCGCAAGCCUGAUCCAGCAAUGCCGCGUGCAGGAAGAA
rnacentral:rRNA from 1 species